rnacentral:rRNA from 1 species
AUUGAACGCUGGCGGCAGGCCUAACACAUGCAAGUCGAGCGGAUGAAGGGAGCUUGCUCCUGGAUUCAGCUGCCGACGGGCGAGUAAUGCCUAGGAAUCUGCCUGGUCGUGGGGGAUAACGUCCGGAAACGGGCGCUAAUACCGCAUACGUCCUGAGGGAGAAAGUGGGGGAUCUUCAGACCUCACGCUAUCAGCUGAGCCUAGGUCGGAUUAGCUAGUUGGUGGGGUAAAGGCCUACCAAGGCGACGAUCCGUAACUGGUCUGAGAGGAUGAUCAGUCACACUGGAACUAAGACACGGUCCAGACUCCUACGGGAGGCAGCAGUGGGGAAUAUUGGACAAUGGCCGAAAGCCUGAUCCAGCCAUGCCGCGUGUGUGAAGAAGGUCUUCGGAUUGUAAAGCUCUUUAAGUUGGGAGGAAGGGCAGUGAGUUAAAACCUUGCUGUUUUGACGUUACCAACAGAAUAAGCACCGGCUAACUUCGUG